UGCUGUGAUGGUGUAAUUUGCGUCAUACCUUGUGAACAGCGACAGUUGCCUGCUGUCACCAUGCUGGCACAGGAGGCUGAUGACACUUCAUUCUGAGCA
ensembl:snoRNA SNORD16 Small nucleolar RNA SNORD16